AUCGCUUCUCGGCCUUUUGGCUAAGAUGAAAGUGUAGUAUCUGUUAUGGAUGUACAUAAAUCUUAGUCGUUUGUUAUGUCAGUCCUAUUUAGGGUUAGGCUGCCGGGGUCGAGAGGCGAUCUAAUCUACUACUCAAUCAAUUAUAGAUUUGUGCUGCAACUACACUAAUUAUACUAGACCAUAC